CGGGGGGGGCAAGCGUUGUUCGGAAUUACUGGGCGUAAAGGGCUCGUAGGCGGCCAACUAAGUCCGACGUGAAAUCCCCAGGCUUAACCUGGGAACUGCGUCGGAUACUGGAUGGCUUGAAUUCGGGAGAGGGAUGCAGAAUUCCAGGUGUAGCGGUGAAAUGCGUAGAUAUCUGGAGGAAUACCGGUGGCGAAGGCGGCAUCCUGGACCGACAUUGACGCUGAGUGAGCGAAAGCUAGGGGAGCAAACGGGAUUAGAUACCCCGGUAGUCCUAGCCCUAAACGAUGAAUGCUUGGUGUGGCGGGUAUCGAUCCCUGCCGUGCCGAAGCUAACGCAUUAAGCGUUCCGCCUGGGGAGUACGGUCGCAAGGCUG
rnacentral:rRNA from 1 species